UCUAUUUAAUUUAACGAGUAAUGUAAAAGCAACAUUUGUAUAUCUCAGAAAAACAAUAAAACUGCAAUUAUUAACAAUUAAUGCAAAUAGACUAAAAGACUUGCAGGCCAGUCCGAGUUUGAGCUCUUUUCCGGUCCACAUUUCCUUUUUUGCAAGCUUAAUGUAAGCCAUAAAUCAUGACGACUAUCUCAUUAAUUGCUGCUUUGCUGAUACUGACGUCUCCGAACAAGAUUCCUGAUUUAUUUGUGUUUUGUGUGUGUCAGGCAAAAAUCAUUUCACUAGUUGCAUUCACCAACUGUUGACCACUGAUAAGGUAACUGCUUCUACCCUGGUGUGUCUUAUCAUACUGCCACAGGGAAUGUUGUUAAAAAUUCAGCCAGAUGCCGUCUUCUGCAUAAACAACUCCUCAACCAUUUAAAAAUCAUCCAGAGCCCUAAAUCCGGAGUGAUACAGAGCAUGGAAGUCAUGUCAUACAGUCGAUUUUUCACUCUUUGCUGUGUUUAUUUUUUAUUCAUGCUUAUGGAUGGUCACUUAAUCUAUGUAGCUUCUUUGUCAAACAGUCUAUAACCACUAAAAUUCUGUCAAUCCUAAUACAAUUUGCACAUUAUUUAGUUAAUUUUGUCUGAGAUAAAAUAUUUAGAUUAAACAUUGUUAUUGUAGAUUUUGUAUCACUGUUUGUGUUGAACUUUCACCUCAAGUUCAACUUUUUGCCUUGAGUCUAAGCUUUGAUCUGAGUACAACCACAGCUGCACUUUAUAGUCAGGAAGUGUUUUUUUAGCCUGCACACACGCUCACAGCUGCAGCUUACAUACACACAUAACUGCUGAACAUCACAGAGGCUUAAGGUUUUAGAGUGACAUCCCAUAGAGGGGAUGUAGCGCAGAGAAUAAAAACUGUGGAUUGGAUCCUGAUUUCAGCUUCUCUUGGUUUAUCCUUUAGGUAGACCAAGCUGAAAGCGCCAGCGCUGGAUGGUGAACUGUUGCAAUGAUGUUUUGUGAUGAGUAUAACAUUUUUGCUUUGUAUUUGAUUGCGAUUUGCUUCCAUUAUAUAUUUGAACUUAUGCAAAAAUCUCUUUAUUAUUUAUCUAGAGUCCUUGUUCACCUGAGAUAAAGUACCCGGUGUUGCACUGCCAGGCAUAAAGCUGCAACAAUACUGGGAUUUGUCAUAUCAAAUACAAUAUCAAUACAUAUCAAAUACAACUAAAAUAUUUAUUUUGCUUACCCCCCCCCCCCCCCCAACAAUAAUAAAAUAAACAAAAAAACAUUUCAGGGACUGCAGAGACAAUUAUAGUGCAAACUAUGGCAAUAUAUGGAGAUAAACAUUGCAGAGGAGUUUCUGUUAAGGUUUGAUGUCAGAUCAAUUUAGUGACAAUCUCUCAUGGUUUUACAGUUGACCUAUUCAUAGAGGUUACUGCCCCAGUUAAUGGCAAAUAGCUAAAAAUUGCAAAAAACCUGAGACCCCCUCUAAAAACUCUUAUAACUGCUUAUUUUAAUAGUUCAAACACCAAAUAUAUAGAAAUGGAAACUGUUUUAGAUAAGAGUGUUCCUUAUCUCAACUCCAUAGGGUACAGGCAAUCAGUGCCAAGGAAAAUAAUGGCCCCCAUGGAUCAGUUGCUUUAUAAAUGCCAGCAAAUAGCAGGUCAAAUAGCAUUGUACCUAGGCAUUUUGGGCUCCAAAGUGGCAUUUUCUUUCAAAUAUUUUAGAAAAAAAAUUGUGAACAGGCAACUUUGAAUAUUUUGCAAAUAAUUUGAAGUUACAUUCCACAGAAAAAUAUGCUGAGAAACUGAGAAUGGGCUACCAGUGUGCUAUCCUUAUAUAAACCACAGGGUCUUGCAUCAUACCUGUCAGGGUUCCUGUGUGCGUGUGUGCGAGUGCAAGUAACACAUCUCUUCCAGCGAGGAUCUUGUUGGAGAGCCUGGGCAGCGUUCACAGGUGGAGCUCAUCAGCCUCAUCAGAGUGCUGGGGAUAAAGGAGCAGCAGAGCCUUCACUCAGUGCUGGAUGAUUAACGUCUACUGGUUUUUGUCACUGGAUCUCUCUAGAGGAAUCGGUUCAACCGUUUUCUCCUCCUGUGAAACUCCCAGCAAGUACCUACUUGCCUGCCUGCUCCACCAUUCCCCCCCCCCCCCCAUCUCCUCUCCGCUCAGUCAGACCCCUGGCUCUCGGUCAUCGCCUACCUUGCACUCGCCUCCAGAAGCUCCAUCUCCAUUCUCCACACAGGACCCCUGGGCACCUUUCUCCGAUGCUUCACCAAGUCCAUUCGAAAGUAAGCCUUUUUUCAUACUGCAUCUGAUCAACUCAUUACAGGCCACCAAUAACCCAACUCUCAUUCCAGACGCCACGGAUUGCAUGACACUGCCACUCCCUGAUACAUCAAGGAAACCUGUAAAUUGUUGCUUGUUGUUUGAAAGAAAUAAAACCUAUACCUUAAUUGAA